AUUAAACUACAAUACCGUAAUGCCGAAAGCGUCGAUUCUUACUCCAAAUUUGCUAGCUCUGAUACCAAUUUCAUACGAACUCAUUAUAGAAAUGUUUCGAGUUGUAAGUAUUGCCCGAUCUUGAAUUGAGUAAAGAUAGAUUCGUUUCGGUUAAAAUGAAACAAAAUAGGUAAAUUGUUUCAAACAAAGAUAGUAGGAUAAAU
rnacentral:lncRNA from 1 species